rnacentral:rRNA from 1 species
UACGUAGGGUGCAAGCGUUGUCCGGAAUUAUUGGGCGUAAAGAGCUCGUAGGCGGUCUGUCGCGUCUGCUGUGAAAACUCGGGGCUUAACCCCGGGCCUGCGGUGGGUACGGGCAGACUAGAGUGAUGUAGGGGAGACUGGAAUUCCUGGUGUAGCGGUGAAAUGCGCAGAUAUCAGGAGGAACACCGAUGGCGAAGGCAGGUCUCUGGGCAUUAACUGACGCUGAGGAGCGAAAGCAUGGGGAGCGAACAGG